rnacentral:lncRNA from 1 species
GCCAAAAGCAAUUUAAACAUAAGACUGGACUGGGCCCAAACCCGAAAGAAAAUGGGGUGGCGCAAAGAAACAAAUGGGUGCAAAGGGAGAUCCCUUAUUUAUUUUUUUGUUUGACCCGAUUCGGGCCCAGUUGAUUACUGGUAAGGUGCAGAAUAGUAAACAAUGGGGGUGUAGUAGAAAUAACCUAAAAGACUAAAUAAAAAUAAAAAUAAAAAAGAAACGGACCCAGCCCAAACCCCAUAAUUUUCUAGGGUUUUCUCACCCCCUAAACCCUGAGGGAUGCCUUCAUUCAGUCCAAACACUCUGAAGCUUCCACUCUCCUUCUCCCACGAGCACCUCCCUCUCUGAACCUCAUCACCACUGUCCCAGCCACUGUGACGACGUUCGAUCUCGAUCAGGGGUGUCGCCGGCGACGCGAGUCGCCACCUUAUCAACCGCCGCAAGUCGCCACUCGAUCAGCCACUGUGCCGCUGCCCGAGCCGUCGGCAGCUUCGUCGCUCAUGUCCCAAACGUCACCACCGAUUUCCAAACGUCACCGGAGCUGCAGCCCAAACCGUCGCCAACUCCACCGUUCGCCGUCGAGACCGUCGCCGGCAGCCGCCCCAAUGCCUACCCUCCUCCUUUUUUUUGCGUUCGAGGGAGGAAGUCGCCUCUCCCCUUCCUCCGAAACGUGAUUUCGACAAGAAAAUAAACAACGUGUGCUUGAAUUGGGUGCGUGUGUUUGGUAUUGUGCGUGUGUGUGCUCUGACUUAGGUGAGUAGCCGCUGUUCUGCUCUCCCCUCUUUUCUCUUCUUUGGCUUGAGAGUGUGUAUGGUGGUUUCUGGGUUCUGUGAGGAUGGUGGUGCUAAGGAAAAUGGGGUGGAGGUUCAAAAGGGUAAAAGGGGAGGUUCAAAUGUGGUGACGAAGAUACUGGUUUGCUUGUUCUUGGUUGUGUUGUGUUGGUGAGCUUGGAACGGGGAUUAUCGUGUGGGGGAAAUGGAUGAUGAUGAGGGUUGUCUGGAUACAGAUGUUGAAUGUUGUCGAAGGAUUUUGAAUGUUGUGUAACAGAUGGGCGAAACCAGAGGAUGGCCGUUUGUGGAGGUAGACACAAAGAUGUUAUGGUGUUUUCCAUCACUGGAGCAAUGGAUGAGAGUGUUGAUGAAUCGGUUCAGUGACGAAGGUUCAUGUGCCCGUGAUAGAAGUUAGUAAAGAAAUGGGAAAGAUCAAACCAAGAAGGCAAGUAGUGAUCGUGUAAGAGGACAUUACAGUGUCGGAGCAAUGGAGUAAAACAACAAUAUGGAGAAACAUACAUCCAUAUACAACUCAAGACUAGCAAGCAGAACCCACAUGCUAGCAAACACAGAAUCACAUAUAUCAAAAUGAAUAAUGGCAGUAAGCUGUGAUCGUGAGACUUACCUCUUAUGUUUCCCCUGUAUCUGCUGCCUUGUGUUGCUUUCUCCCUUUGUUGCAGGUGAGUGACGACCACGGUAACGAGGGUGAUUGAUGGCUUAUGCUGGAUGCCAGGAAAUCAAGGGCUAGUUAAAUGUCUCAUUGACAAUGGUCGAGUCUUUGGAGGAGGUGUGUGACUGGAGGAUGCAAAUGGCUCCAGGAAGUUGGGGAGAGAAUGAGGUUUUGUGUUGAUGGUUGAGAGUGGUGUGUGAUUACGGGUGUCCCUCUGUAUUCUGGAUUGUGAGUAUUGAGUCCGAAUAAUGGUGCUCUUGUUCUUUUCUUGUGGUUUUUUUUCUCUGUUGUUAUGGUAGUGAAGUCGAUAAUGGAGUCUCGAUAAGAAUGAUGUUCCCAGUGUUCUCUUCUGUUGGUUAAGGUCAUCCCCUGUUUUCAAAAGCCAAUCCCAACGUAUCUUCUGCUGUAGGAUUUUUUCUCUUGUUUUUUUCUUCUUCUCGUGUAUCAAUUUGAUUAAUCAGUGGAAUAGUUCAAAAAUCCUUUCUCCUUUAGUAUCCGAUUACAGCUAUGGUGUAGGGAUUUUGAUUUGAGGAACAGAGACCUCCUCUCGCACUGUCAUUGCAUAUAUACAAUUUAAGCAUUACUAUGCGUUGCAGGAUGGUGGUAAGCACUGCUGCAAACUGCUGCAAACGGCGUUGUGAUGCAGAGGGGAACUUAGUUGACUUUGGAUUUUAAUUUUUCCUUUUCAUUUUCUUUCACUUUUUUUUAUUUUUCACUUUUUUUUUAUUUUUUUUAAUAUAAAACAAAAAAGGAAUACAAUAAAAUAAACUAAGACGAUAAAACAAAAAAAAAAGAAGAAAUAAGAUAAAUAAAAUAAGAUAAAAUAAAACAAAAAUAAAAAAUAAAAGAAAGUAAAAUAAAGUAAAAUAAAAUAAAAUAAAAUGAAAUAAAAUAAAACAAAAUAUGAUAAAAUAAAUAAAUAAAAAAACGAAACGAGCUGAAUAAAAAUAAAAGGAAAGAAAAUAAACAAGAAACACUUUUUUUUAGAAAAUUUAUAUGAAAAAUGUCUCUGUC